GCAUGUUGGCGAGCAAAGUGGCGACAAAGGCUACGACACACUGAAAAAGACACAUAUUUGAGAGGGGAACUUUUUUUUGGGGGGGUCCUACCUGUGGAGUCCGUACGGACUUGACCUGCAGGUUCCCUUCGAUGAAAAACCAGACGUUGAGGCUUGAAUCCCGUCACCUGUAAUGUUAUUGAAUGAUGAGCGUGAGAGGGCCAACAUGCAUCCCCAUCACCACAUGUAAAUGUAAAACGACAUUCCUGGCAUGCAGCACAAGUUGUUUUAUUUCACAUAAGUAAUUCACACACACACAGACUGACCUCUGCGUCUCUCAAACGGAUCCAUUUAACAGCUCAGCCUAAAGAGAUGACGGGUGGAUACGACUGUCCUCAUCCAGCAGAUGCUGGGAGUCAGUACAUUAACCCCUCUACAUUAAAAGAUCCACGCUGCUAUGAAUUUAUUUGGGGUUUCAGAUCUCUUCAAUUAGAUAUAAAGUAAUGGAAGAUCCUCCCUUAAAUACAUCUGCCUGCUUAUUUCUUCCCCGUAGCACCAUCACAUUCCCUAAGGGUAAACCAAUUUACAUUCUUGUUUUGCUCUUCAGAUCCAUGCCAGUUUCCAUGACAACAUAGUUUCACUUUCUCAUCCUCUCUGUCUCACUCUCUCUAUCUGCCUCCACUCUCCGUCUCCUCUACUUUCAUUCCCCACUGCUCCUCUCUUGUGUUCUUUUGACCUUCCACCAGUGUUUCAUUUUCUUUCUCUUCAAAUAGCGGGGUCCAAAUUCCUCCUCUCCUCUCAUUUUCUCACCUAGCCAGAGCUCAUUCCUCUGCUCACCAUCUACUCGCACAGAAUGAUGGGACUCAAACAUGCCAAAUCUCUGCGGGAUAAGGUGAGGUGGGGCUGCACGGGGCUGAUUAAUGCCAGGCUACUGUGCGUCGUCUGGAAGGGGAAGGUCAUGCAGAAGGCGGUCGGUCUCCUGCGCCACUCUGACCGGUCUGCCAGCUCUUGGCUCCACAUCUGCAGGUCAGGGAGUCGCAGGAAGCAGAAAGAAAUCACCUCUGUGGGUCGUGAUUGCUUUCACCGCUCCAUUCUGACCCUCAUCCGCUGCAGUUUUUCCUUUUUAUUCCUCUCCUUGUGAAAGCACCAGUGUAAAAACCCACGUGUUCUGAACAUACAAUGGGUUGUCUCGUCAAAAACCAUCAGAGGUACUCUUUUGUACUCCUCCUUUGAGCACAAGGACAUCUUAUGGGUGACCUAGAAACCUACAUCCUAGGGUGAACAAGCAACAGUUGUCUUUUUUUAAACUCUAGUAGCAGUGGAAACACCAGGACAAGGAGCGCCUAUAAAAUGUGCUCUACCCCUGAACAAUAACCCAUGUCCCCUUGAUCGUGGCAAUUACUUUAGUUGGGCAAAGUGUAGACCAGCACCAGAUAGGUAUCGUCUUUUGCUACCCUGAGAUAUAGUGAACAGUUAGUAUUGUUCAUUAGAUAAAUGGACUUGUCUAAGACACAUGUUGCGCUCUCUCAGCCUUUCACAGAUCACAUCGGACUCCCGUCUCAAGUCAAAAACACGGUCGGUUUAUUCGCAAAAAUGCCUUCAUCCACUCGAGGUUUCACUGGAGGGGAUGUUCCCGAGCCUUCUGCUACCCACACCACCAGAGGGAGUAAUCAUCUGAGAAGAGUGCAACAACUGGAUACUCACUCUGACUUCACUUCAUAAUGGUUUCUUCCCAAGCUCAGUUUACAGUGUUCCAUGGUUGACUUUGAAUCUGAAGGGGCACAGCCCUCUGCCACAGGGUGGUGGCCUGUCAAUCAGAAAUGGGAUCUGAUCUGAGAGCUAGUGUGGGAUGGGUAGAAUCAGAUAAUCAGAUUGAAAAAUAAUAUGCAAUAUAUAAUAUAUAAUAUAAUAUAUACACAAACACACACACAAGCACAUAGAUUAGGAUAUGUCUUAUUUGAUUGAUCGAUUCCUGUCAAUUUUAAGAAAAAGACAGCGACAGUGCAUGGCUAUACCUGGAAUAUUAUGAAUGUUUAUUGGGAAAAUCUGGAGUG
rnacentral:lncRNA from 1 species